rnacentral:lncRNA from 1 species
GGGCUUGCUGGACGGUGGAAUCGCGCCUGAUUAAAGGAGAACAAUGUCAAGGUAAACAUGCCCCAGAAGAUAAAGCUAUCACAAGAGAAUUGAAGCUACUUGUUCAACAUGACAGUUUUUUUAAUAUAAAAAUUAUAUAUUUUGUUGUUUGACCGAAAUCAUGGGUGGAUUGUGUAAAACCUUCAUAAAACCUCCAGAUGCAGUACAACAAUCUAUUGUACGUAGAUCGACAUUAAAAUUUUCCAACAAUAAAAACACAUCUUAUCUUAUAAAAUAUAUACAAUCAUAAUUUGUAAAAAAAAAAAAAUACAAUCAUAGUCCCUUCUAAAAAUACAAGCCUAUUUGCUUACAAUUCAUUAAUUAAGUGAUAAAACUAAAGUAGUUAAUAACUACCAAACAUGUACAUUAGGCAUAGAAGUCCAAGCACAAUAAGCACAAACUAACUUCUGAGAAAUGUACACAUAAACAGCAAAAGAAAUACUCAUUAAAAACAAAUCUUUCCAAUCACCCUUUUGUUGUUGUGGACUUAAAUUAUUCAUCUUCUCUUGUGACUUAUUCUUCCCAAUUAUCUUCUCAAAAUCAUUCAAAAUAACUUUCCAUUUCAACAAUGGUACCUUCCCUUUUCCACCUCCUCUUCCAAUAUCUUUCUUUUCUUCAUUAUUGGAGUUAGAGAUAUUUAAUGCUCUUCUACUUUGACAAGAUAUUGGAACAAUAGGUGCCCUUAAUCUACAAAAAGAAUAGCCAAUAAUUAGAGAUGCCAUAGAUGAAUUUUUUUGUUUAUUGGAGUAGGAAUUGUAUUAUUAAUUUGAAGUCAACAUAUGUAGAUAAAAUAAAAUAGAUAUAGAUGUCACUUUAUGACUACUAAAAUGUUGGAACUCUAUUUUUUCAUUACUAAGAUGAAUUAUUGUACCUUAGAUAUUUUGAUUAAAUGGAUUGGUUGAUGGAUAAGGAGUCUAUUAUUGACCUUGGACAUUGUGUGGAGGAGACACGAUAUAAUGAGAGAAUAUAAAAUAGAAUUUUUCCCGUAAAAAAAAUAAUAAAAUAGAUUUUUUUUCUUUCAUAAAUAAAAUUAAGAGAAUUCUUUAAUCAAUUAUUUAGAGGAAAGUGGAGAGAGCUUUAGAUUGUUAACUGUUGAGUCUAUAUUAUAAAAUAUAUUUGAUGUUUUACAAAAAUUAAAAAUUUUAAAAAAUUUAUUAUUGAUUUUAAAAAAUAUUUUAUAGUAUCUGUAAUUUAAAUGAAAAAGGUAAGUCAUCUCCUCUCCUUAAAAAAUUUUCAUCCAAACAUAUCCAAUAAUUAAGACACAUAAAUCAUGUCAAUCAUCACACUUUUUAAAUAAAUAAAGACAUGUAUGUAAGGCUUAACUUGUUUGACGAUGUUGAAAUAUUUAAGUUGGAUACUUUUAACCAUUAUCCGGGUUCGAACCUGAAAUUCCUUAUUCAUGUUUGAACUUAAAAUUCCUUAUUUGUGCAUGUAGGAUUUUAGUGAAACUUGUCAAUUUGUCAUACGACAAAAAAAAAUACCAUGCCAAAAAAUAUCGUAUAAUAGUACACUAAAAAAGGAUUUUAAGGUUUUCUUUUUUUGAAUGAAAAAAGGAUUUUAAGGUUUACUACCUAUAAUGUAAAAGAAAAAGUUGAUUACCUAUAAUACCGCUUUUAAAUGCUACUAUUUAAAAACCCUUAUAUAAUAUUCCCUCUGAUUUUUAAUAUAAAAAGAAGUUCACUAUUUAGAUAUAUUGAAAUAUUGUCUAAAAAGUGAACUUCUUCUAUAUUAAGGACCGGAGGGAAUAGUGUUUCCCCGGAAAGUGCUAUCAUAACCUAUUUUAAGUGCUAAUAGUCCUUAAUAGCACUUCAAAUAAAACUUGCUAUUACACUCUUGUGCUAUAUGUUUUUUGAAACACUUUUGUGCUAUUUUUACAAUAGGUUUUUUUAGUGUCGGUAUAGUUAAAAUGUCUUUCUCUAGUGAAGCAGUUUCACUCCAUUAACUUUCAUUUUUUGAAGACACUAAUAUAAUACAAAUUAGCAUUAAUCACAAUUUUUUUUGGAUAUGAUCUGACUCCUCUAAAAUAAGAAAGCGAGAAGUGGGUAUUAUAAACUAUUGAUUAAAUCAAAAGUAGAGAUAUUACAAGUAUAAAAAAUGUUGUUUAUAGCGGACAACAAACCACGAGAGAUAGCGAACAGUGUAUUUUUAUCACAUUUCAGUCCAAUCACCCAUGUUUUCCGCAAAAGUCAAAUUUGACCAUUUUCGUUUUAACUAGUACAAAAUAAUGCUUCGUUAAGAAUUCGUGAUAAAAGUCUUCGCUAUGAAUAACAUUGCUUAGUAUGUCAUAACAAAUCAUAAAUUUAUUUGUUAACAUCUCUCACUAGACAGUCAAAUACCCACCUCACUCAAAGUCAUCCUCAAGCAAUCUUAAUGAAAAUUUGAACAAGCCAUGUAUUUAAAACAGCGCAACUCUUAACUUCAACUAGUUGGUACAAAUGGUUUUUUCAGGCAUUGAUUUGUAAUGUGGCUCAUCAAACAGAUAAUGCAAUUGGAAGUCUUCAAAAAAUGGGGUAUAUACAGUCAAACCGGCUUAUAGAUUAUGCUUCAAUUUAGUCAUCGAACCACCCAUCCCAAUAGUAACUGUAACUUCUUUUGUCAAGUAAAUUAAUGGUCAGAAAUUCUACGUAAAUAAAUAGGCUUUGUUUGGUAAAAAAAACGGAUAACUGAUAAGGUAACUUAUAGCGGAUAACUUAUAAACUAACUUUUAGCUUAUAGCGAAUAAGCUAGCUGAUUGAAUUUGUAGUGUUUGGUAAAAUUAGCAGUUGAAUUACCUUAUAAGUAUGAAAUGACAUAAAAAAAGAUAUGUUUAAUUAAUAUUUAUUUUUUUCAAUUAAGAUGAUAGGGGUAAUAUUGGAAGAAAAAAUGAUAAGCUAUAAGCUAUAAGUUCAUAACUACUUGAAAAAUAAGCAAUAAGCUAGUAAAAUAAGUUAUAAAUUCUUUUUAAAAAACUGUUACUAAACAGAUCUUUUAGCUUAUAAGCUAUAAAUAAGCUAGCUUAUUGUACUUCUCAAACAGAGCCAGAGUAUCUAAGGUUCAAAUUUUGACUUUUACCUAUAUAAUGCGAUGUUCUUAUCAACCGAAUUAAUCUCACCAAAACUGUAAAUUAAUUUGGAAAUUAGUGAUCUUACUAAAAUAAAAUAAGUUAAAAGUUGGAGUUUUUACCGCCCCGAUUAUAUUAAAGGAGCCUAUUGAGAAAUAUGAUGUUAACGAAAAAUGAGUGAAAAACUUAUGAAGUUUAUAUCGAUAAUAGUAUAGGUAAAAUGAUAUAUUUAGAUUAUAUAUUUAAUCAUUUAACUUAAUUUCAGGUAAUAAUUCAGUCUUUUAUAUAUGUUUUUUUGUCCUUUUUUUUUAAUCUUAAUUCAUGUUUGUAUAUGAUUUUUCAUGCUUCAAAUCUAUAACAUAUAUUUAUGAUUGAUAGUGAACAAAGAAAAAAACUAUAUUUAAAGUUUAAAAGUCUGUUUGGUUCAAAAGAGACGAGGGAAGGGGAGACUAUGAGGAUAAAUUUUUUAAGGAAUAAUGUUGGUAUUUUAAAAUAAAUAUGAAGAUAAUUAUGUCAUUAAUGUAAUUAAAAUUAUAAUAGUUUUUCAGCCGGAGCUGGCUGCUCAACUAAACUACUUGUGGAAGCCGACCCAUCGAUAGAAGCAGCGGGGCGGGAAGGCUGAUGCAACUCUUGGUUUACGCUUGCUUCUGAGCCUGCAUCAGACCUAGUAGACACCCAAAGAAGAAUUUCCUCUGCACCGAAUAGUGCUCGCACUAUAAAGCCAAUAGCAGGAAGUUGAAUCAAUCUCGUUUGCUACAGGAUUCUUUCGAUCUAGUAAAGUAAACCCCUUUUUUACUAAAAUGUCAAAUCCUCAAUUCUUCUUAGUACCCUUUAAUGAAUGGGAAGAGGAAGUGGGAAGACUUCCCAUCACGACCUAAAGGUCUGUUUGAAACUCCUGAUCUAACAGCCGCUCAAACUAAGAGCAGUUUGGAACAAAUCUACCUCCCUAUUUCUACUGGUCGAGUGAGUUCUUGCUUCUCUGCUUCGAGUUGCCCUUACCUGAUAUGGAAUUUCCUUUGUUUUCAAAAGAUGUCGUAGUACAUCUCUCCUCCCCUCCCCUCCAAAUCUCCCCAAAUUGGGGGGAAGCAAAAGAUGAAGUUAUGAGGGAUUUUGCACCCCCCCUAAAAAUUGAACCAAACACAUAUAAUUAAAAAUAUUACAUCUCACCCCGUUUCCUCCAUCUACUCCGAAUCAAACACACCCUAAAAUUCAUAUUCAAACAUGAAAAAGAAGAUAAAAGACUAAAGUAAUAAAACUGAAAUUUUUUCAAUAAUUUAAAAUAGUGUUUAACCACUAUAAUGUUAGCGAAUUUUGAUUUAACUCCUAUAACAUAAUGAUUUCUUUUAUUACUCUUUGUAAUGUCAAUAUUAUGUUAUUUUAACCCAUACAAGGUUAGCUUAUCAUCAACAAACCCGGGGUACUCCACUUAUUCACCUUUAAAGUGGAUUUUCUAGCUACUAGACUACUUGAAAAGAAAAAAAUUAACCAUAAAGAACACUUAUUACUCAAAACAUAAAUAAACAUCAAUGUUUAUUCUUAACCAUCAUAAUUUCAUAAACAAAAGCCAAACUAAUGUUUAUACUUAACCAACCAAGAAAUAUAUUACCAAACAAGGCCAAGUCUAACAUGCACAAGUGGAGAAAGUCCUCCACGGUGCACAAGUUAGCAAUUAUACUAUAACGAAUACAAAUUUUACAAAAUUCACCGUUGGAUUGAAAGUUUAUACCAUAUAGGUCAUCCAUAAAAAUUUUGAAAAAAAUUGAAAAUAAUUUGAUAUGUCAUUGAGACCCAUUAAUAUUAACGUUAGUCAAUAAAAAACCAUAAACCGUUAAUUUUGACGGGUCUCAAUAACAUAUCAAAUGAUUUUCAAUUUUUUUCAAAAUUUUUAUGGAUGAUCUAUAUGAUAUAAACUUUCGAUGCAACGGUAAAUUUUAUAAAAUUCGUAUUCGUUAUAGUAUAAUUGCUAACUUGUGCAUCGUGAAAAACUUUCUCCAUUUAUUCAUGUUAGACAAAACCACCAAACAAUUGAUGCACCAAGAGCUAGUGUAUUGCUUAAGUAAAAAUAAAAAAGCUAGUGUCUUGCUUAGAACCAAUAGCUUCAACAUAAAUAUAAUCACAGACGAAUCCAAAAACUUAUCAAUUAUCAUAUUGAGGAUAAAAAAUUGUAAAUAGUAAAAUGAAUGUAUUUAUUUAGAGAGAUUAUUUUUGUUUAUAUUGUCAAUAAUUUUUUUAUUAUCAUGUUAUAGGUAUGAAAUUCUCGUCAUCAUUUGACGGCGACUAACUAAUUGCCUUUGAAAAACAUGUGGGCACAAAAAUAAAAAUAGACCAAAAUAUAAACGGACCAAAAUAAAUUGAUCUUGAAAUCUACACAGACUGCAUGUUAUAAGAAUCGAUCAACGAACCUUAACUCAUGUAUUCAGCUCUAACAUUAAUUAUAAGCAAUUUUUGUUCUUCAAAAUUCAUUAAAUAGUCUUUAACUUUUUAUAAAACUAUAUGUAAUUUUUUUUGGUUACUAUGAUGUUGGUAUAAAGUUUCCACGUAGUUAGUGAUAACUAAUCUCAGUCACAAAAUUUGUGGGGCACAUAAGGUGAGUUAUACCUUCAACCGAAUUUUCUCCAUAUUUAUAAGUCAGAAAUCGAAUUUCUUACCACGUGCUUAAGAAAAUCAAGACCAUACCACAUUAAAAUUUGAAUAUUUUAACAUUUUGAAUAAUUACUCCUUCAGAUUCUUAAUACUACCUCCGGUCCUUUUUAUAAGGAGCACUUUGAAAAAAUCACACAGACCAAGAAAACACAUUUAACAUAGUUAUUUUCAUUUAAUACUCUUACAAAUUUAAAUUUAUUCCAUGUAUACCCUUAUUUAAUUACUCUUUAUUCAAUUAACUUAUUUAUUUUUAAAUUCUCUCUCAUAAUAAAUAAGGGCAUAAGUGAAAUUGAACAUUUAAAACAUUUGAAAAUUGGUCAAAAUUUCUUAUAAAAAGAAUCAAUUUUUUUUUCUCCAAAGUGUUCCUUAUAAAAAGUACUGUAAGAAGUAUAAAAUAAGCUUUACUCUAUAAAUUCAUUAAAAAUUUAAUGUAUUUAGUCCAUAAGAUGAACUAGAUACAUUCAAUUAUCAAUACAACUAAAAUGUAAAAUUUCUCAGAGUAUUUAUUUUGAAGUUGAAACUUGAAACCUUUAAUUAAUUUUUGUCAAAAAGAAAGACCUUUAAUUAAUUAAUCUCCCAAAAACAAAAAAAUUACAUGACAAAAAAAGCUUAAUUUGAGAAACGUGUCAUGUUCUUAGUGGUUUACCAAACACAAAAUUUACAUUUCCACCACACGCAAUUCAAAACACCCAAACCCACCGAACCAUUUCUCACUUUGCAUGCACAAACUUCAAAACUAACAAGUCAAGCUAGUUUUACAUUUUUAAAUUCAUCUAAAAUACGCCGGCACCGCACAAUACGCACCCUCAAAUUUCCUUUUUCUCUUCAAUUCUCUUUCACGUUCAGUGCGCUCUACGCACAUUGCGUAUUCAAGUCCAACUCUUUCUCUUUCUCUCUCUUCACUUUACUUUUUCUCCGUUGACUACAACAAGAAUNNNNNNNNNNNNNNNNNNNNNNNCAUUUUCAUUUUUCUUUUAUUUUCUCUCUUCAUUUUCUUCACCGCCAUAAAACUUGCCGGAAAAUCUCUUCCGAGUAACCCUAGCCGCAAUUUUCAUGCUCUGCGUUUUUGGUAAUUUAUCGUCGUUUUAAUUAUGAAGAGAUUGCGAUCAACCGAAGAUCUUCACUCUUAUGGUGAAAAGAACGGUGCUGAUAAGAAUUCAAAUCUUUCUGUUAAGGAUUCUAAUUCCAAUUCAAAUCUGAACCGUUCGUUUUCUUCUACUGGUCAAAGAAGUUUUUACUAUAAACAAGAGAAUGUGAGGAAGAAUUUGAUAUCUUCGUCGUCGUCUUCGUCGCGAUUCGAUAGGGAUAGAGAUAGGGAUAGGGAUCGGACGGUGGAGGAAGAUCGAGAAAGUUCUAGAAUUGUUCGGAAGCGAUCUGAACAUGAUUUCGAUGGUUUUGAUCGGAGGAAGGGUUUUGAUCGGUAUAAUCGUGAUGGUGGUUACAGUGGAGGUGGAGAUAGAGAUAGAGAUAGGAAUUCGAUUCAUAGGUCGGAGAGUUUUUGUGGAGGUUCGAGGAGGGAGUUUCCGAAGGGGUUUCGGUCGGAGAGGGAUCGAUCGAGGAGGGAAGGGAGUGUGUCGUCGUGGAGGAGAGGUUUAAAGGAUUUUGAUGAGAGUAGCAGAGGGGGGAAUAGUAGAGUUGAAGAGAGAAUUGUGAGGUCACCAAAGGGUUUCUCGAGGGACGUGAAAUCGCCUAGUUGGUCUAAGGAUUCUGAGAGUGAACAAUCGAAGAAGAGAUCUUCGGAGUCUCCGAGGGUGUUUAGAGAAGCUACUAAGUCGAUAUCAAAGUCGCCUUCUUGGUCUAAGGAUUCGGAGAGUGAACAAUCGAAGAGUGUUAGUGUGGAGGUGAAGAAAAGUGAUGAGUUGUUGCAACAGGUUCAGAGUGGUAGUGGUAGUGAAAUGGAAGAGGGGGAGCUUGUACCUGAACCCGUCGCUAAAACUGAGGCCGAAGCNNNNNNNNNNNNNNNNNNNNNNNNNNNNNNNNNNNNNNNNNNNNNNNNNNNNNNNNNNNNUGCUGCAGCUGGAAGGGAAAGACUGCAAGCCUCUGAGGAUGAACAAGUGCACAAGAAGAAUGAAUUUGGUUCGAGUGAUGCAGAUGUUGUUAUGGAAGAAAAACAGAUGUUGGGUGAGAAAGAGGUGAAACCUAUGGAGGAUGUUGAUUCUGAGGUAAAAGAUGCAGAGAAGGAAGUUCAUGAAUUGUCUAAGAAUCAAGAUAAAUCUACUAAGGAAAUUGCUGUUAAUAAGGAUGAGAUUAGAACUGUUGAUAAUGAUAAUGUUAAGAAGGAUGUGUGUUUGAAUGGUGAUGAUACUCGGCACAAGGAGGUGGAGAAGGAAAAGGCAGAAAAUAACGAGAAGGCAUUGCUUAAGAAGGAAAGGGGGGAAAAUAACGAGAAGGCGUUGCUUAAUGAAGAAGAGCAUGAGGUGGACAAGGGUGUAGGUGGUGACAAACUUGACGGAAAUGAUGAAGGCUCAACAGAGAAUACAGUUGGUGUUGAAGUGCAGGAAGAAAUGAUGAUGGAGAGUGUGACAAAUAAUGUGAAGGAUAAAGGCAAAAGCAUUUCGGUCGCACCUGAUGUUGCUCAUGCUUCAGAAGAUGGCUUGUGGAUUGAUAGAGGGUCAAAAGAUCUCACAACAAGCCCCGCAGAUGUCAUGGAAGGUCCAAGCACAAGAGGGUUUGAACUUUUCUCUAGAUCUCCAGUAAGAAAAGUAGAAAAGUCUGAUCGCUCGGUUCUAAAAAAGGAGAAUGAUGACAGUCUUGGAAUGGGGCAGCUUGUUCUUACUCUUAGCUUGCCGAAUGUUCUGUUACCUAUAGGUGCUCAGGAGACGGCGUCGCAAGCCCCUGGUUCUCCUAGUCAAGCACUGAGUGUUCAGUCUCUAAGUAAUACAUUUUGCACUAACUCAGAUGGUUUUACUGCAUCGAUGUCAUUUUCAGGUUCACAAUCACUAUAUCACAAUCCAAGUUGUUCGUUAACGAGAAAUUCAGUGGACUAUGAACAAUCUGUUGGCAAAUCGGUUGGUAGUCGCCCCUUGUUCCAGGGAUUUGAUUGGCAAGCCCUAUCUCAGGCUGAACCCAAGCAGAAAGAAGUUCCCUCUGGUCAGAGAACUUCGAGUAAUGGGAACGGCUCUCUUUACCAGCCUCAAGCAUCAUGGGGAAUUUUAGAUAAUCAAGCUUUGAAAGGACAACCUUCUAGGCCUCUUGAAGGAAGCUCAAAAAUGGGAAAUGGGCUUGAAAGGCAAUUGAGUUUUCAUAAGCAGCUUUCAGGACAGUCAAGACAACAUGAUGAUGUUCGAUCUCCUACACAGAGUGUUGGGUCACAUGACAAUGGAUCGAAUUAUAGUUUCGAGAAGAAGAGGGAUGUUAGGGAAAGAAGUAGCAGUAGUCUACAUCGAUCAACUAGCCAGAAGGGACAAGAUAAUUUUCUGAUGGGUGGACUUGAAUUUGUUAAGACAAUCAUUGCAAGAAUAGUUUCUGAACCUGUGCAAGCAAUGUCCAGAAAGUUCCAUGAAAUGAAUGGACAGUACAUAACGCGUAUGAAAGAGGGUAUUCGGGAACUCAUGGUCAGUGCAGAUAACCAGGGACAAAUACUUACUUUUCAAAAUGUUUUGCAGAACAGGUCUGACAUAUCCUAUGAUGUCCUAGUGAAGUGUCACCUAGCGCAACUGGAAAUUUUGGUUGCAUUAAAAACUGGUGUAGUCCAUUAUCUUCACCUAGAUGAUAACAUUUCAUCUUCUGAUUUAGCUCAAAUUUUUCUAAACUUGAAGUGUAGGAAUUUAUCAUGUCGAAAUCAGUUGCAUGUCGAUGAAUGUGAUUGCAAGCUUUGUGUGCAGAAGAACGGUUUUUGCAGGGAAUGUAUGUGUGUUGUGUGUUCUAAGUUUGACAAUGCGUCGAGCACAUGUAGUUGGGUUGGGUGUGAUGUUUGUCUUCACUGGUGUCAUACUGACUGUGGAUUACGAGAAUCUUAUAUUAGAAAUGGACUUAGUACUACUGGAACGAAAGGGACGACUGAGAUGCAGUUUCACUGCAUUGCUUGUGAUCACCCUUCUGAGAUGUUUGGCUUUGUCAAAGAGGUGUUUCAAAAUUUUGCAAAAGAUUGGUCACCCGAAUCUCUUUGCAAGGAACUUGAAUAUGUGAAGAGAAUCUUUUCUGCUAGCAAGGAUAUUAGAGGGAGACAGUUGCAUGAGAUUGCGGAUAAAAUGUUGCCGAGCCUGGCCAUCAAGUCUAACAUCCCUGAGGUUUUAAGACACAUCAUGUCUUUCUUUUCUGGUAAGUAACAAAUGUCUUUGAUUAUUUGAAUGCUUUUAUCCUAUUUUCUUAUUUUUACAGUAUAUGAAAUGCUUGCAUUCAACAAUGAUAUACUAUUUUCCUGCUGUCUGAAUGACAUGAAAAUAUUAUUGUUGCAAGAUUUAAAUGAGCCUUUCUUUUCCGUAAAUUAUUCUGUUUGGCCUGGUAUUUUUUGGAAUGUCUCAAACCAUGUCAACAACUCUAUGUUAGAUAGGUUCAUUCAAUCAUGUGGAAUAUAGCUAGUGAUGGCGUUUCCUCAAUAUAGUUGGGCAUUUAUGUUCUUAGGUCAUAUACGUCAUUGGUGUUUGUGAAGGCUAAAUUGUAUGUAUUUACAUGCAUGGUUAUUAGUAUAUUACGUUUGUAUCAUGAGUCGUAUCCAGAUUUGAUACUAAACUGAACUCAAUCAAUACAAAUCCCGAUUCACUAUGAUGAAUCACGUUUCAUUCUAAUGAAUUUUUACCUAAACUUAGUGUAGUCAACCACCUGUUAUAUCAACUUUGUAUAAUCAACCGCUUUUCAUUUGUAAUUUGCUUUAUGACUCAAAUCUUGAAUUGCUUUGAGGUUCAUAUAUGAUAUAUCUGCUUAUAAUUUGUUGUCACUUGUUUUUACUUAAACAAGUCAUUAUCAUUGGUAAUAUAUCUUAAGAUUCAUCAUAAAAUUUGAUUCACUAUUCGCAAAAUAGGUCUUCUGAUUUCUGAUAUGAUAACCAUGUUUACAUGCAUUAUGGUUAAUUGCAGAUUGUGAUUCUUCCAAAUUACCCAUGACAACAAACUUUUCUGGUAAGGAACAAGUCAAAGAAAACAAUGGGGUAGCUGGGCCCAGCCAGGAAGCUGCUUGGCUAAAAUCUAUUUAUUCAGAAAAGCCAGCUCUGUUAGAAAGACCUGCAAGCAUCCUUCCAAGAUUUGACCAGAAUGAUAAAAGGACACUGGUGCAAGAGUUGCAGAUGAGUAGUAUCCAAAAAGACUUCUGUUUUGAUGAAUUAGAAAGUAUAAUAAAAAUCAAACAUGCAGAGGCCAAAAUGUUCCAAUCUCGUGCUGAUGAUGCUAGGAGAGAAGCUGAAGGGUUAAAACGCAUCGCCCUUGCAAAGAAUGAGAAAAUUGAAGAAGAGUAUGCCAAUCGAAUUGCCAAGCUGCGUUUUGCCGAGACAGAUGAUUUGCGUAAACAAAAAUUCGAAGAACUCCAAGCAAUAGAGAGGGCACAUCAUGAGUAUUUGAACAUGAAAAUGAGAAUGGAGUCAGACAUUAAAGAUCUGUUAUCCAAAAUGGAAGCUACUAAAAUGAACCUUGCCAUGUGACCUGAUCAAAAUAUUUAGAAUAGUUAUUUCAGGUAAAUGUAUUAUCACUCAUCCUGAAAUUUGUAGGUUCUAGUGCUCUACCAUGUUGUUGUGAACUACCAUAGUUUUAUUUAUUUUUCAUUGUAGUUUAUUUUGCUUAUAAGCUGCUAACCAAAAUCUGUAGAGUCCAUCACAGUAGUUAACAGUCUUAUAAAACAAUUUCGAUUAUGAAAGCAGUUUUAAACAGUUUAUUAUUUGAACUGACAAAAAAUUGGCCAGCAUGUGGCUUGGAUUUGAUGUACAGGCUUGUUGUACUGACUGUUGCGUAUGAAAAUUUAUAAAAUAGAAACCUUGGUGGAUAUUGUGCUUUCAAAUUUAAUGUUACAUUUAGGACAAGUGUGGUCCAGCAGUACCUUUUUCAUCACUUCCUGUUGGUCUGUGUUAAUAUUUCUGACACAUUUAUUCAAUCAUAAAUUCAUAAGUUUUCCAGCUAUCUUUUAAAGAAUCUUCUACAUAGUAUAUGUUGGGGUUAUAUUUGUCAUUCUGACAUGGAUGUAAAUAAAGCUUCAUCAGGAGUUGCAUUCUCUUAUGAAGCUACAUUUUUUUCUUUUUUCUGCAUUGGUUUUCAAAUUUUAAAGAGCAAUAAAAGUUGCAAGAAAUCUGUUGGUGUAAAUUCUUGGCAGAUUUUACUUUUAUCUUGUGCCCGAAUUUUGGAUUAUCGGGAUAUCUUUUCUCUAGAAACCAAAGGGUAUAAUACAAAAAAUAUAUAUUUUUCUUUCACUCCCAAAAAAUCAAUUCAAGAAAUCUGGGGUGCUUUGUUUUAAUAUUUUUUUUCCAUUCGUUUGUUAGUACUGAUUUUCUAGUCUGGUUGUAUCGUAUCAUUGGAUGAAAUUUCUCUCAGACUGAAAGAGGGUAUGGGUAUGAGAGUUUUUUUUUUUCCCUCUUUAAUUUUGAGGUUAUUUUAGUCCUUAAAUGUGUUUUUGUUUCCCGUAAAGUCAACAAAUUUGGGUUUUAAGUCUUCGUACAAAAAAUCCUCUCAUUUUGCCUCUGUAGUUUCAGAUUACUUUGGUUUCAGUCCUUAAUGUGGUCAAGUGGAAGAGCCGUGUUAUGGGUUCCGUCGGGUUGGUAAAGCAACCAGGAUCCUCUUUCCUCCAAAAAAAAGGUCCAAGCAGUCACGUGCCUCUUCCAUCCGUUCGGUCCUCGCUCUCAAUGAAAACUACCGGAAUAUUGAAGCAACCUUUCGCAUAGCCCUUUCUUUUCUUUCUUGGGCAAUUGAAUCAUGAACAGGUGCAGAAGACAUGUCACACAAAAAUGCUGACAUGGCCAAAACCUGCUGAUUGGACCAUUAUUAUAUGUUCAUAGACUUGACAAAUUAUACGGACAGAAACCAAAACUCACAUAAAUUAUAGAGACGAAAAUCAAAACUCACAAAUUACAAGGACGUAAAUCAAAAUUCACUCAAAUUAGUGACGAAAUUUAAUAAGACUACUCAUUCACUCGAGUAUUUUAUCAUACACAAAUUUAAAUGUGGUGGGAUGGAUUGACCCACAUGCAUGUUUUUUUUUAAUGUAUUGAGAUUAAAAAUGAAGUGCUCAAUCCAAUUUUUGUCUUUUUUGUUGAACACUUCAUUUUUAAUCUCAAUACAUAAAAAAAAAUGCAUAUGGGCCAAUCCAUCCUACCACAUUUUUUAAGCGAGUUAGACGGAGCAGAUUAACUUAAAGUUACCAGACACAAAAAUUUAGCUCAACUUGUAAAAAAUAGUGGCUUAAACAGAUUGACUUGAUGGACUCGAUUCAUUUUACCACCCCUAACCAUGAAUAGACAAAAAUAUAAAAAUGACUUAAAAAUGAGAUGAGGGACUAAAAUUUAGAUCAAAAUUUAAUUGAAGACUAAACAAUCAAUCUUCAAAAUGGGAGACCAAAACUUCAUUCUUUUAAAAAUAGAGAAACCAAAAAUGUUAUUAACCCUUUUUUUAUUUUUAUUUUUAUUUUUUUAUCUCUCCUAUAUUUUUUGUUACAAGCAUUACAUUUUGAGAUUUACUUUUGUCACCCUACUGAUUCUAGGGUGCGUCCUAUAAAAUUACCAAAAUACUCCCGGCCGCUACUUAUGUAACGGGUUCUACGUAGGAGGGUGUUUUUCUCUAAAAAAUCUUAUUUUUAUAACAUUUGCUACUUAAGUAACAGAUUAUAAUGAGAAAUUUUCAUGUUAAAGAGUGUUUAUUUUCUUCUUCUCAAAUUUCAUAUUUUUAUAACGUCCGCUACUUAAGUAGAGAACUGAUAAAAAUCUUAGUAGAGUAUUUUUUUUUUCAAAAUUUCUCAUUUUUAUAACGUUCUCUACUUAAGUAGCGGAAGGGUAAAAAGAAAAAUGCAUAGGGAGCGUGAAUAGCCCGUAGGGUGGCAAAAUAAAUCUCCUACAUUUUAGGGUGGAGAGGAAAGAGGAUUUGGCAAAAUAAAUCUUCUCAUUUUUGUUCUUUGCUGUUUUGGUUCAAGGGAAUUUCUUUUCCUGCUUCCCAUGUUUCUUGUGCGCCCCAAUUUUUAUCUUUAUGUUAUAUUAUUUUAGUAUUGGACGUUAUAAAAAUGAGAAAUUUGAGAAAACAAUCGUCCGCUACCUAACUAGCUAACGAUGUGUGUUAUCUAUCUAGUGGAUGAAGCUGACACAAGAAUAUUAACAGAAAAUAUGAUGAUCUCUUUAAUAAAAUAACAUAUUACAUUGUGAUGAAGAUCAACAACAAAGACAUAAUAAGAAAACAUAAAUUAAGCACAAACGAGACUAUGAAUUAGAUAAAUCAACCGCUUCAUCUUCAUCGUCCUCAAGUUUAACCAUGCACGCNNNNNNNNNNNNNNNNNNNNNNNNNNNNNNNNNNNNNNNNNNNNNNNNNNNNNNNNNNNNNNNNNNNNNNNNNNNNNNNNNNNNNNNNNNNNNNNNNNNNNNNNNNNNNNNNNNNNNNNNNNNNNNNNNNNNNNNNNNNNNNNNNNNNNNNNNNNNNNNNNNNNNNNNNNNNNNNNNNNNNNNNNNNNNNNNNNNNNNNNNNNNNNNNNNNNNNNNNNNNNNNNNNNNNNNNNNNNNNNNNNNNNNNNNNNNNNNNNNNNNNNNNNNNNNNNNNNNNNNNNNNNNNNNNNNNNNNNNNNNNNNNNNNNNNNNNNNNNNNNNNNNNNNNNNNNNNNNNNNNNNNNGAAAUUCAAACCAUAUUUUUAAUUUUCUCUUAUAAAAAAUAAUUUAAAACCAUAUUCAUUUUUUGGACUAAAAUUUAAAACAAAUUCUUAAUUUCUGAUUUUUGGAUCCAUCAUCAACAUAGUACAUUUACUUUUUUUGUGUUCCCCCGAUGCUUCUGCACCGACCUCUCAAUUGUCAUUAAAAUAUUGACACCAGUUGGCAACAUGGCAUAGAGUAUUGUUCUUAAUUUAUACAUGAAUUUUUAGUAUUGUGUUCACCAGAAAUAGACACAAUUAUUUUUACCAUUGAAAAAAUAGGUACAUGUUUAUAUCUCACUUUUUGUGUUUUAAAUAUUAUUUGCAUGCAUCGAUUUCCGUGCUUGUGAGUGGUAAAAAAAAGUGUGUCAAUUUUGUGUCCCUAAAUUUUGUGUUUAGAUAACACUCCUCUAACUAUUGUAUUGAAAAAUAACUAAUCACAUCUCAUUCAUUCAAAUGUGAGUGGAUAAGUAUCAAGUCACAUCGACCGUGAAUGAGAAGAAUAGUGAGUUUAUAUAAGAGAGGUGAUUCAUUAACUUUGUUUUUUUGACAAAGACUCAUUAACUUAAUAUCUUAAAGUUUUAGGUUAAUAUUGAGAUGUUGCAAUGUCUUCUUCUCUUGUGGUCCUAGAGCAUUUGACUUUGAUAUUUCUCCCGAACUCCCUCAAACUCUCCAACACAUAUUAUCUCUCUCCUUAAAUAUAAGACUCGUUGAUUAAAUCACAGAAUUAAGCAUUUUCCAAUUCAUACAAUAGUUAUACUCAGGGAGCGGUUAUGAUGCAUAAGCGAAUUCCUUAUGCACAAUGCAUAAAUAACACACAAAAUCAUUUCACAGUAAAAUGGUUUUGGAUUACAACCCUCUGAAACCAUUCCACAGUAAAAAUAGUUUUGGCAUGAUUAAAUAAAUCUAAUGUGAAACAACUCCACAGAAAAAAUGAUUUUGACAUGAUUUUUGUUUAAAACUAACUACGAAGUAAUCUGAUGACGUUCAGGGGUUGCUGUUGUUGAUUUGAGGGUGAAAAAUGAUGCAUUUGGAGAUUUGUUUAUACACUAUGCAUAAGUUUAUUCCUUAUACAUAAUAAUUCAUGUCGUUAUACCGAUAUGUUCCACUAAUAACAUAUAACAUAUAUUGUAAAAGAAUAAAGAGUAACAUGCCAUAUACUUUGCCUCAUAAAUGAGCCAUACAAAAAUAACCUCAAACGAGAUGUUGGUGAAUAACAUUAAGUUUGGCAGGACAAGAGUGAAGAACUAGGCAUGGUAGCUAUAAAUUAUCUAAUGUUUUGGUAACACAAAUUAAUAAUGCAAGCAAAAGUCAUGUGACCACGUACACAUAUAACACUAUAGUUUGAAAUUACAGAGUGUGAGAUCAACAGAUAUUGUUUCUUAAUUCUUACUAUUAUAUAGGGACAACUUGCCGCCCAUUGUUUAAAAAUUAAAAUUAGAGCCCACAGAAACCCAUUUGUAGGUUAAGUAAUUGGAAAUCAAACUAAUGAAUUGUUGCUUAAGCAGUUAGCUGAUGUUCAAGUUCUUUGCUAUUCAGAUUGGCCACAUGCAUGACAUUUUGGUAUUAAUCAACGGACUUCAAGUUGUUAAUGAGCUCUUACUUAGACGAAUCGUCUGGAAAAAAUCGAGUUUGAUUCUUAGUGAGAGUAAUUUUUGGUCGGACUUUACUUAUCUCACGAUCGAACUCUGGAUCACAGGGACUCCAUUUCCUUAAAAACUAGAGUAUUAAUUAAUGUAAUAUUUUCAUAAAUUAAAACAAAGCAGUUCUAAAUUUGUGCUUUGUGGAGUUCAUGAUCAAACUAACGAAUCAAUUAAGUGAAUCCAAUUUAGGCAGUCUAUAUUGGUAUAGAAAUGCCACCGGCUUAGUUUCUCUAUAUUGUUUGUUGCAUCUAUUGGCAAGUAUAAAAUAUUUUAGCGACUCUUGAACAUAAUUUAGGAACAUUCAUCAAGAAAGAAGUCAAAAAAUAAUUUAAGAGUUUGAACAUGGCUUAGUUUAAUUUAGGCUUAACUACACAUUUGAUCCCUUACGUUUAUUUUACGUUUUAAUUUUAUCCCUUACGUUUUAAAAGUAUUAAUUUGGUCCCCUACGUUUAUUUUAGGUUUCAAGUUAGUUUUUUCCGUCAAUUUUGUCACAUGUGACAGUCAAUUUGCAUACGUGGACAGACACGUGGCACUUGGACACACUGACACAUGUACUGUUCAAACGGUGUUAGUGACAAAACUAACGGAAAUGAUUAACUUGAAACCUAAAAUAAACGUAAGGGACCAAAUUGAUACUUUUUAAACGUAAGUGACCAAAUUGAAACCUAAAAUAAAUGUAAGGGACCAAAUAUGUAGUUAAACCUUUAAUUUAAGACUAAGAAACUCUUCUUAAGAGUUUUAACACUAUUGAAUGUUAAAGAUAUAGAUCGGACCCAAGACCUUGAUUAAGUUAGAAGAGAUUCAUCUAUCUAAUUAGCGCUAUUGUUUUUUUUUUCUACCACCAGUAUAAGGCCCAAUGGACUGCCUAAUCUGGUUCGAGGGUUAGUUCUACAUUAAGUGAUUCCAGCCCCCUUUCGAUCGCAGUUGCGGGGAUCGAACUGUGGUCGUCCCUCCUAAGUCUAGUAUCAAUCACCACCGGACCAACUAACCAUUGCUAUUAUUAUUAUUAUUUUUGUUUACAAUGAGCUGGGGAUCGAACCCAAGACCUAUAACAUACUACUCAAAUCCUUCACCACUAGACCAAACCUAGUGGCUUUCAUUGCUAUUGGGUUUUGUUUAAACAUAUUUGAUAACAUUAAACGUUUAUUUAUCUUAAGUCACAUGAAGUCAAUAAAUUUUAAUUAUUAAAUGUUGAUAACAAAUACCUUGCCCAUGUUAUUACUUCAUAAGUGUUAAUGUAGAUCACAAUGUAAUAACUCCUCCUACUUGUAGUUAUUAGACCGUACUUAUCCUAUGUACUAACUAUCAUAAAAUAAAUCUUAAAUCCUAGAUUCCCUCAGAAAUCUCGUGGCAUGAAUUAAGGAGAAAAACUCGUUUUGAAAAGUCAAAACCUUGGUGCAAAUCAAUAAGUGUUUCUCUCCAAGUGCACAAUAAAAGAGAGCAAUGCUGUGUCCAUUUCUCUUGCACACAAAACCAAAGCUUUUCUUUCCUCAAUACAUUUCUCUUUUAAUAUUGCUACACAUUUGUUUUUCUUUUCAUGGUGAAAAUGGCAGUGACAUUCAUAUAUACACUUUUUAUGACUUUGCUAUUGGCUUCUUCAGCAUUUGCUAAUUUUCAUCUCAAGUCACCUGAAGGUAAUGUUCACUCUAAUAAUGCCAAUUCAUAUUUUUUAAAGGAACACGUUGUACAUCUAACAUGUUUGAAUGUUUAAGUGAGACAAGUCUUUCCACAUAUGUUAUAAGGUUUGUCUAAUAUGAAUAAGUGAGACAAGUCUUUUAUCAUACACAAAUUUGUUUUAAUCAUUAGAUCAAUAAGUCUCACCAUUGGAUCAAUAUGUUGCGUUACAUUUCUUUUGAUCCAAUGAUAAGAUUUAUUGAUCCAAUGAUAAAAAUAAGCUUGUGCAUAGUGAAAAACUUGUCUCACUUGUGCACCAUAGAUUUGACCUUGUUCUAUACAAUAAAUUAUCAUAUUUCAAAAAGUGGGUAGUGUCUGUAUUAUCCCUGUAACACCAACACUUGAAAUUGAAGAUUGUCCGGUUCUGACACGAACAUGACACCUAAUAUAUUUGAUUAUAUUCAGUUAUGUUAUUUUUUUGAAAUUAUUACUGAUGUAGACUUGUGAGUGUCAUAUCUUGUAUUCAUCGCAGUGCUAUAAGUUGUAUUGCGGUAAUGGUUAGAUGACCGGCGAGUUUAAAAUUAUCCCAGUAGUACAUGAUUUUGUUGAAAUUCUAAAGUAUACCUUUUGUCAAAAUAUUGGUGGCUUAUCGUAAUUAUGCCAAUCUCAACGUCAAUCCAAACAUAUUAUUUAAGUGGUUAUGCAUGUUGUGUUCCUUUCCCUGAUUCUGCUAUUGUCACUCACUGCGGUUAUUAAAGUGUAACUUUUGUCAAAAUUGCGAGGGCUUAUCGUGAUUAUGCCAAUCUCACACCGUUAUUCCAAACAUAUUAUUCAAUUAGUUAUGUGUUUUCCUUUCCUAUAUUUCUAUUGUGCAUAACUUCAUAUUCUUAAACUCUGAUCCAAUGUGUUUGGUUGUGUUCUAUUAUUUCUUUUGUUUUUUUUUGUUUGCUUAAAGUUUACUUCAAAAAUGGGAACUUUGAGGAGAAGCCAAACCCAAGAUUCUUGAAGAAAACAAGAAUCAUUGGGAAACAUUCACUUCCAAAAUGGGAAAUCAAUGGUCUAGUUGAGUUNNNNNNNNNNNNNNNNNNNNNNNNNNNNNNNNNNNNNNNNNNNNNNNNNNNNNNNNNNNNNNNNNNNNNNNNNNNNNNNNNNNNNNNNNNNNNNNNNNNNNNNNNNNNNNNNNNNNNNNNNNNNNNNNNNNNNNNNNNNNNNNNNNNNNNNNNNNNNNNNNNNNNNNNNNNNNNNNNNNNNNNNNNNNNNNNNNNNNNNNNNNNNNNNNNNNNNNNNNNNNNNNNNNNNNNNNNNNNNNNNNNNNNNNNNNNNNNNNNNNNNNNNNNNNNNNNNNNNNNNNNNNNNNNNNNNNNNNNNNNNNNNNNNNNNNNNNNNNNNNNNNNNNNNNNNNNNNNNNNNNNNNNNNNNNNNNNNNNNNNNNNNNNNNNNNNNNNNNNNNNNNNNNNNNNNNNNNNNNNNNNNNNNNNNNNNNNNNNNNNNNNNNNNNNNNNNNNNNNNNNNNNNNNNNNNNNNNNNNNNNNNNNNNNNNNNNNNNNNNNNNNNNNNNNNNNNNNNNNNNNNNNNNNNNNNNNNNNNNNNNNNNNNNNNNNNNNNNNNNNNNNNNNNNNNNNNNNNNNNNNNNNNNNNNNNNNNNNNNNNNNNNNNNNNNNNNNNNNNNNNNNNNNNNNNNNNNNNNNNNNNNNNNNNNNNNNNNNNNNNNNNNNNNNNNNNNNNNNNNNNNNNNNNNNNNNNNNNNNNNNNNNNNNNNNNNNNNAGGAAAACACCAAUAAAACUUGUUUUUCUAUUUUAUAUUUUUUUUGAAAAUCUUUUUCUAUUUUUUUUAAUUCAAAGAGAAUAACAAAAAAUAAAGUUUCAUUUUUAAAAAAUAAAGAUUAUGUUUUUUUUUAAUUCAAAAAGUUUGAAAAUAAAUCUUUAAAAAUUUUAUUUCGGAAAUAAACUUUAUUUCGGAGUAAAUCUUUAUUUUGGGAGCAAAAUAAGAAUUUUUUUUUUUUUUNNNNNNNNNNNNNNNNNNNNNNNNNNNNNNNNNNNNUAUUUUGGGAGGAAUUUUUUUUUUUGUUGGAAAUUUUUUUAAAAUCAUUUAUAUGAAAAAAAAUUAAUUUUUUUGUAGGAAUUUUUUAAAAAAAUUUUGGGGAAAAAAAACAGAAUUAUUUUUUAUUUUGUAGGAAAAAAAAUUAUUUUUUAUUUUUUUAAAAAAAUAUUAUCUGACUUGGAAUUUAAAAAAUAAAUAUAAAUGAUUUUUUCCACAUGUACAAGCCACGUCAACAGGUUNNGUCCUGCUGUACACCCAGGGGGCGAAAUGAGAGAAUCUAUUUUUUGCAAGGGGGUAAACAGAAAAAAAAUCUGUGCAGGGGGGUAAACGAAAAUUUGCUUAUUUUGCAGGGGGGUAAAUGAUCAUUUACCCAUUGUUAAAUGUUGGAAACAGGUUCCUUGCCUGUUAUUUUCUUUUUUUACACAAUUCCUUUCCUAUGUUAUUACUACUCCAGUAUUUUUCAUAAGUUAAAUAUAGAUCACAAUGAGUAACAUUUAUUUGGGCACAAUCACAAUGGGUCUAUUUGGGGCAAGCCAAAAAGGUUAGCUUUUAGCUUUUGUUAUGGCUUAUAAAGACCUGUUUGGUAACGGUCUUUUCAGAAAGAGCUUUUAGCUUAUUUUACUGAAACAACGUACCUUACUAUAAUUAACCAUUAUAUUAUAUUGUGAAUAUAUUUUGUUGUUAUUUUUUCAUAAAGUAUAUCAACUGAAAUGAAAAUAUUUUUUUUUUUAAAAAAUUCGACAAAUAAAAAUUAGUUUAAUAAUAAUAUUUGAAAAAUAUAUUUAUUGAAUUAAUAAACUUAAAAUAUUGUACCAAAAAAAUAAAAUAAACUUAAAAUAUUAAAUUAUAAGUAUCUUAAAUAGUAUUAAUUUGAUAAAAAAAAUUAUUGAAUUAAAGAUGUCCUUUUAUGUCAUUUUAUAUUUAUCAGUCAGUUGAACCGCUAAUUUUACCAAACACUUCAAUCACCUUAUCAGCAAGAAGCUAUGAGCCAUAAGCUAUCAGCUAGCUUAUCGGCCAUAAGCUAUUUUUGCCAAACGAGCCAAUAUUAUUUUUGGUUUUUACCACCAAUAUCCGGCCCAUAUGACCACUUAAUUUGGUUCGGGGUCAGUUCUGACAUCAAAUGGUUCCAGUUCCAUCCCGAUCGUAGUUGCGGGGAAUCAUAGUCUUCCCUACCGAAUCUAGCUUCAAUCACCACUGAACCAACUAACGAUCGAUCAAUUUAUAUAUAUUUAGGCAUACUCCCCUCUUAACGAGAGUUUGCCAUUUAUUUGGGCCUCAAGGCUCGAGGGAUUAGUCUCUGCAGUUGUGUAUAGAGAAUACCCGAUUUAUGCAAAAAAUAAAUAAAUAUGAGUUGCAUAAGUAUGACGUAACUUGUAGGAACUACUUAUUAGUAAUUAGUAAUGUAUGAGACUCAUAAUAGAUUUCUUAAAAAGAAAACCAUCGGAGAUACUCUAACAGCUAUCGGCAAGACACUUCUUAAUUUAUGUAAAAAGAACUAUAAACAAAUCUAAAAUCCUUAGAUUCCCUCAGAUAGCUCAUGGCAUGAAUUAAGGAGAAAAACUCGUUUUGUAAAGUCAAAACCUUGAUACAAUCAAUUGCAAAGUGUUUGUCCCCAAGUGCACAAUAAAAAGAGCACAGCUUUGUCCAUUAGCAACCUGAAUUCAUUUGUCUAAUUUGUUUCUUCUCAUGCUGAAAAUGGCAGUGACAUUCAAGUGUACUAUUUUUAUCACUCUGCUCUUUGCUUCUUCAGCAUUUGCUAAUGUUCAUCCCAGGUCGCCAGAAGGUAAUAUGUUCCACUCUCAUAAUUCCAAUUCUACACCUUGAUAAUUCAUUUUCACAAAUUAUUAUCUGUGUAGACGUGUCAUUAUCAUGUCUAGUGUAUGUGUUAGUUCUACAUAUUGUACUAUGCUAAUGGUUAAUGUUUAGAUGUCUAAAGUUUAGCUUUUGCAUAAAUCGCGUUAUCAUACUGUGAUUUCGUCAAUCUCAACUCCAAUCCAAACACAAUAUUCACAGGGUAAUAUGUGUUGAUUUCCGUGAUUCUGCCAAUCUCAUCGUAAUUCUUAAAGUGGUCAUUUGACUUUCAUAUUAUGGACCAGAUACAUCGGUUAUUCAAUGAAUAUGAAAAAUGAAUUUUUGCUUAUAUAUGAAACCAGAGGGGAGUAUUACGUGCAUAACCUUAUAUUCUUAAUUUCUGAUCCAUGCCAGUGUGUUGGUUGUGUUCUUUCUUUGUUUUUUUGCUUAUAGUUUACUUUCAAAAUGGGAACUUUGAGGAGAAACCAAACCCAAGAUUUUUAAAGAAAACAAGACUAAUUGGGAAACAUUCACUUCCAAAAUGGGAAAUCAAUGGUCUAGUUGAGUACAUCUCUGGAGGGCCACAACCAGGAGGAAUGUACUUUCCAGUCACACAUGGAGUUCAUGCAGUUAGGCUUGGAAAUGAAGCUUCAAUUUCCCAAACCAUUAAAGUCAAACCUGGUCAAUGGUAUGCUUUAAUAUUAGGAGCCACAAGAACUUGUGCUCAAGAUGAAGUUUUGAGAAUCUCAGUGCCUCCACAAUCUGGUGAUGUUCCUUUACAAACACUUUAUAGUCUUAAUGGUGAUGUUAUUGCUUGGGGAUUCAAGGCUAGUUCUAAUGUUGCAAAAGUUACAUUCCAUAACCCUGGUCUUCAAGAAGAUCCUACUUGUGGUCCACUUUUGGAUGCUGUUGCUAUUAGAGAGUUUUACCCUCCGAUGCCGACAAGAGGUAAUGAACCAUAUCUGUGAAUCUAGAUUCUUUGCAGGCCUGUAGUAGGUCUAAGUCCAAUCUCACAAAUUCAACUGUUUUUGUUUUGAUUUGCAGUUGAAUGAUCUGCAGCGCUGCAUAGAAUCUAAGUCAAAUAUCUGCAGCGCUGCAUAGAAUCUAAGUCAAAUAUCUAGUUUAGAUUAUGCUUUGUCCUUUGUAGGAAAAAAAUUAUUUGAAGUUGAGAAAAUACUUGUUUUUUGUGAAGUCUUUCCAAUGCAAUUAUUAGAUUUUUAUAUUUGACCUAACUCAACUCUACAAAACUGGCCUAUAAGAGGAUGGGGUGUCACUUUAUAGAAAAUCAAGCAUAUAGACUUGUUUGGAUUGAUUGAUUUAAGUUUAUCUACCAAAAUAAGCAAUUGUGUGGUUGUUUGGGUGAGCUUGCGGAAACAACUUAUGACAUAUUCAUAGGCUGUUUUCAGCUGAUUCGCAUAUGCUCUCGGUGAUUAAUUAUGAAAACAACUUAUAACAUAUACGAAUAAAGUAUGCCUUUAUUUUAUUUUCUGUUAUAGAAAUAGCUUAUACGUAAGUACUUAUACGAUAAACACUUAUGCUAUAAUCACUUAAUUAUUUAUUUUAUCCAAACUGGGCUUCUAUCUUCUUUAACAUGAUCUCUUGCAGGUAAUUUGGUAAGAAACCAUGGCUUUGAGGAAGGUCCAUUCCCUAUUUUCAACUCAACCAAUGGUGUUCUACUCCCACCAAAACAACAAGAUCUUGUAUCACCACUCCCUGGUUGGAUUAUUGAAUCUCUCAAAGCCAUUAAAUUCAUUGAUUCAAAGCAUUUUCAUGUCCCAUUUGGACAUGGAGCAGUGGAGCUUGUUGCAGGCAGAGAAAGUGCCAUUGCACAAAUUCUCAAAACUGUUCCAAACAAAGUCUACAACCUAAAAUUCACAAUUGGUGAUGCAAGAAAUGGUUGUCAUGGAUCGAUGAUGGUCGAAGCAUUUGCUGCAAAAGAUACUUUUAAAGUUCCUUUUAAAUCGGUUGGAAAGGGAACAUUCAAAACAUCAAGUUUCAACUUCAAAGCAGUUUCAAGCAGGACUAGAAUCACUUUUUAUAGUUCUUUUUAUCAUACAAGGAUUGAUGAUUUUGGAUCUCUUUGUGGUCCUGUUCUUGAUCAAGUUAUUGUAUCUCCUGUUGCUUAAACUCUCCUUAUGUUUUACCUAGUAAUUGUGAUUUUUGCUUUAUAUCAGUUGAAUGUAACGUGAUUUAUGUUUGGAUACAUUUAGGUAAAAGUGAGUUGAAUAAUAAAUGAAAAGGUUACAAAAUUAAUUGUAGAGGUAAAAACUCGAAAUUCUAGCUUCAAGUUUGAAACAAUUCCGGUGACAAAAUAAAUCCUAUUUAAAAUCUUUCGAAUAUAUCAAAAUGAAUCUACAACAGUAAAACUAAUUUUGCUUUCUUUAAAAGUGAAAUCAAACAUUAACAAAGUGCAUGCUCGGUUUUGCUAUAGAAUCUCGUUUACUUGCAUCACAAGACACGGUAGGAGACAAGCUAUAAUUGCAAUUUUUUAGAAGUUACCUCCUUAUAACUUCGAUUCACCGUAAUUUGUAACGUGAUUCCAAAUUUUGCUCAAAUUAACAUACACUAAAUUGACUUAAAAGAAAAUAUUUGAGAGUAACUGCACAUGAUUUCGUAAGUAUAUAGUACAUCUGAACGAUACAAAAACUCGUGAUUUGUGUGAAAAUGCACAUUCAGAUAAUAAAAGUUCCUCCCAAAAAUUUUAUGAUUUUAUGAUAAUAACAAAACAACUCAUAACUUUCUUCCACUAUGUCUCCAUGAGACCAGAGGCGUCUUUUGGGGGUGUGUGACAUGUGCGACGGCAUAAGGCCUCAUAAAAAUAGGGGUCUCUAAAUUUUUUUAUAGGAUAGUAGUCUUAGUAAAUGAGAGAUAUAAAACUAGGGAUUGCAGAUUUCCAAAUGCGAGAUUGUAGAGUUCAAAUACUUGAGAUUCUCUUUAUUCUAAAAUGAUUGAUUUAUUAGUUACAAAAUGUCCUAAAAGAGAUUUUUCUAUUGUGAAUAAAUUUUUUAGACGCUUUAUAGUUAAUUGUUAUACUAUAGUUUUAUUAAAUGAAGAGGCGUGUAAUAGAGAUUGUCUUGUUUUUUAGACGCUUUAUAGCUAAUUUUGCAUUGUUUAUUUUAUUAUGGCCUAUUUUUAAUAAUCCCACAUGGUCUUCAACUUUUUGGAGACGCCCCUUUUGUUAGACUAUGAAUCUUUUUUAUGUUAAUUACAAAAUGAUUAUAUUUUUAUGUUAUUUGCAAUUAAAUCAACGAUGGUUUUUUUUUUAUAAAAAAAACUUUACGUUGUUUUUAUUAAAGGGUCACUUUUAUAUUUUGCACAGAGCCUCCAAAAACUCGGAGACGCCCCUGGAUGAGACAUGCAGCAGUAGCAUGCAAAACGUUAACAUUCAAUGCUUGUGCUAUGAAUAUUUUUAUUUUAAGCAUGGCUCUGAUAACUUAAUGCUGAAUCUGAGACAUUGCCUGCAUUGUGAAGAUAGUAACAAUGAAUACUGAAUGCUCACAUUAUAACAUGCAUUGAUGCACGCGAGUCAUGACAGAAGAAUCACAGAAAAGUUAGACUUACGAAACAUGAUUUUGGAAAUAAUUUUUUAUUUCUAAAAAACAAUAGGAUAGGGAAAGAUACUUAAGUCUAAAAUAAUUUUGCUAGGCACAUUGAGAAAUUUUGAAAUAGUAGUAAUUGAUAAUGUGACAAAAGCUUUUGUAUUAUUCCACUCGAAAAAACGCUCCUUAACUAGGCGAAUUACCCUUAAUGUACCCUUAUGGUUGUAUUGGAUGUACUUACCAAUUUUUAUGAAACAACAAAAAUUAGUGGGUAGUAACGGAGACUACCAAACUCUCCAUCCAACUCUCUUCAUUCAUCUCUCUCCAUCCAACUCNNNNNNNNNNNNNNNNNNNNNNNNNNNNNNNNNNNNNNNNNNNNNNNNNNNNNNNNNNNNNNNNNNNNNNNNNNNNNNNNNNNNNNNNNNNNNNNNNNNNNNNNNNNNNNNNNNNNNNNNNNNNNNNNNNNNNNNNNNNNNNNNNNNNNNNNNNNNNNNNNNNNNNNNNNNNNNNNNNNNNNNNNNNNNNNNNNNNNNNNNNNNNNNNNNNNNNNNNNNNNNNNNNNNNNNNNNNGAGUUGGAUUGAGAAAUGCAGAUGGAGAGAGGUUGAUGGAGAGAGUUGAACGGAGACCUGAAAUUCUAGAGGAUGUGAUCAAACAGAGGAAGAUCCGGUCUAAUGUAUCAGUGAUUUCGAUAUCAACCUAUUUCGGUAAAAAUGAUCAUUGCUUCAAUAAGUAACUGUGUUCUAAUUUCAUGUUAUAUCUCGAUCUCUAAUUUUAAUCUUAUAGGAGUGAGAUGGAUGGAGAAAAAUAGAUGGAGAGAGGAAUUGAGAGAAAUUGCCUUAGCUUUCCAAGACAAUACCAUUGAAGACAAAGCAAACAAAUCAAAGCUCACUAUGGUCUAUGGUAAUAAAAGUUAGAUGGUUGAAAAAUGCUUUAGAACACUAUUCUGCUAAAAAAUUGAUAUUUAGUACAAAAGAAAUGGUUUUUGGCUGCUUGUUCUGGUAAGCUCAGUUUGAGAUGAAACAUUAAAUUGGGUCUGCAGACUCAUAUGUCAACAUGGUAAAUUAGUUUAUUUUUGCACUUAUAUAUAUUAUUGGCUUGGCACCUUUCUAAUUCUGUUUUGUUUUAUAAAAUUGCAGGUUCAACUAAUAAACAAUUUCACCAAGAAAGGAAUGACCAGCCAUUGUUACAGGAUUGCAUAUACUUUUGGAAAGUAAGAGAAGUGGUGCAAAACAAAUUGGAAGGUUUAUGGGCCAAUUUGGUUUUAAAAGGAAAAAACUGCGUGUAGGCUAUUACUUAGCAUUAACUUAUUUUAUUUUAUUGUGGUUUAUAUGAACAUAGUGGGAUGAAAUAAAUCAAAAGAGAUAUACGAAAAGUUUUAAUAUGUUCAAUUGCAAAUAUUUUGUUUUGUAGAAAUUCAUGUGUGAGAUUUGAUUGUUAUUAUUUUAUGAUUUAAGUAUGAUGCAAUUUCUUUUUGAGUUGUACCAUUGAUGAAAUAGUUUUUAUAUACUUGUUAGUUAACCAACACUUAGAGAAUUAUCUGACUCUGAUUCCCUAAUUAUUUAGGGAUACGUAAUACAAGAGAUCUUCUCUGUCGAGUUAUAAUAUCAGUAACUCUAUAUUUUAACCAAGUACAUUUGUUAUAGUGUAUAAUGUAUUAGGCUUGCCAAGCUAAAUACAUAGUUAGUUAGAGGUGGCAUGUACACCGGUCAUGACCAAGGAUUGGGUCGUGACCAAGUUUUGAUGAACAUAUAUGAGCAAAGUGACCUAUUAUAUGUCAACUCUUUCUUUUUUGUUAUAAAGUUAAAUUAACCAUUUGGACAUUAAUUAUUCUGCCGUCACCCAUUCCCUUCCCCCAAAGUCAUUUUUUUAGAUGUAGAACCACAUAUAGUGGUGCGAUGAUCGGUGGCCUUUUGCACCACCUUUCUGCCAGCUCUCCGGCAACACCGCCUUCAUGGAGUAGAGUUUUGCAGCAGAUCUGGAGGGUAUGUAGCGGUUUUUUUUUGCAGUUUUUUGCAGUGUUCUAGAAUGAUUUCUACGUUGUGGAGGUUCGACGAGCUAGGAAUUUGAUUUGUAGCAGCGGCUUUGCUACGGCUGUUUCUGGUUCUAGCCAUUGAAGCAAUGGAAAUUUGGGUUUUAGAAGAAAAUGGGUAAGGAAAAUAUGGUGGGUUUGAUCUAGUUUUUCUAAGUAAACCAUGCCACAAACGGUGCCACUGAAUCGUCUGUUCAGAUCAGAAUAUUCUUUCGGUGUGAUUGAGGUGUCAGAGUUGUACUAUGUUGAUGAUUUAGGUUUAAGUACCAAGGGGAAAAGUAUCUUCAAAAAUGUCAGUACUUCAAUGCUCAAGUCAGUAUUACUCAAGGUGAGAAAAGGAAUGAAUGAAUGUACCUCAAGGCGAGUGCAUGCAUAUAUAAUGGAAUGUGCGUGUGUAACCGUUUUGGUUGGGUUCCCAUAUGAAUGGAAUGAGUCACAAAUAUUUUUAAGAAGAAUCAUUUAUCUUAUGCUUGGUAACAUGUAUAGCGAUUAUUGCACCUUACUUUUAAUUGGACCUUUCUGAUAAUUGCGCUUUUGACCAACCGAAAACAUUAACGGACCGCAUACAGUCAUGGAUGCUGACUACCAAAUUUCAUAUCAAAUAAAUGAUAAAUCCGUGUGUCAAAAACAAAAGCUCUAUUGGCAAGAAAACUACGAAUUAAAAUAUAAAUAAAACUCAAAGAAUCCAAUGGAUUAGAAAUGUAUAACUUUAUGUACGACGGUGGAUCUAAGGCAAUUUUGUUCUCAAGUGAUUUUUAGUGAGACAUUUAAAUCACAACCAUCAUACAUUAUCGAUAUAUUUCUUAUAAAAUAUACAAACAUUUGGGAAUUCAAUGCCCAAAUUCACGAAAUAUACAAACAUUUUCAUACUAUUUUAUAAUCGAAUGGCUGAAACCGAUUAUAACAUCCUACUCUAACCUCAAAAAAUCUAAUCCUAAAUUACCCCUAUUCCGUGACAUACAUGUGGAAUAUUUCUCAAAGCUGCCCUUGUUGUCGAGUUUUUCACACAUUCAUGCAUUUGAAGUAUUUGCGACUGACCAUUUUUGACCGAAUUGUUCAUAACCGUCUGAUCUUGAUUGAACAUCUAUCAAUGUCUUGAAUGCGUGGACCUCUGACGGUUUGAAAUUUUGAUUUGUGCUUCUAUAACUCUUGAAUUCAAUCUCAAAACACACAAUUCCACAUUUGUUCUUGAUUCCUUGUAUUAAAGAUACACCCAAAAUAAAAAAAAAGAACCUAAUCAGAAAUAGUAUGGUUGUGCCAACAAAGAAGCAUAGUUACACAUCGUCCAAAGAUAUGGAUACGUGCCUUGUGUUGUUUAGCCACCGAAAAACAACGUUUUGUGAAGCUUAUUUUCCUCCUAGGUNNNNNNNN